AUUGAACGCUGGCGGAAUGCCUAACACAUGCAAGUCGAGCGGGGUAGCAAUACCCAGCGGCGGACGGGUGAGGAAUACAUAGGAAUUUGCCUUUAGGUGGGGGAUAGCUUGGGGAAACUCAAGGUAAUACCGCAUGAUCUCGCAAGAGCAAAGUGGGGGACCGCAAGACCUCACGCCUUUAGAGAAGCCUAUGUCUGAUUAGCUUGUUGGUGAGGUAACGGCUCACCAAGGCGACGAUCAGUAACUGGUCUGAGAGGACGAUCAGUCACACCGGAACUGCGACACGGUCCGGCCUCCUACGGGAGGCUGCAGUGGGGAAUAUUGGACCAUGGGCGCAUGCCUGAUCCAGCAAUUCCGCGUGUGUGAAGAAGGCCUUCGGGUUGUAAAGCACUUUAGGUUGGGAAGAAAAAGCUUCGGCGAAUAUCCGGAGUGUUGACGGUACCAACAGAAUAAGCACCGGCUAACUCUGUGCCAGCCGCCGCCGUAA
rnacentral:rRNA from 1 species